rnacentral:lncRNA from 1 species
CACCUCACAAAGAACUCCUGGCUUUACAAGAAAGACGCUGAACAUCCAUUAGAAAAGUAGCCGCAAGUAGGUUGGCAGGGGUUGCAGGCCUUCUCCACUGAGGUUUUAUUCUUUGUUGUGUCUGGACGAGCAGAUUCAUUCCCCAACCCACCCCACUCUUCUUUCAGCCUAGAAAAUGUUUGCUGAUCACUCGACUUUCUGUUGAAUAAUAAUCUUGAAGACGCACAUGGAGCUGAGUGUACCAGGAAACAUCUAGACCAAGCAUUCCUUCAUCCAGGGAAGGAGGCGUUGGGUCCAGACUCUGUGAAAUAUCAACUCAAAGAAAUCAGACUCAAAGCAAUAUCAACCUUCAGAAGAGUCCAUCCAGACUCUGAGAGUCCAUCCAGGGGCCCGUGAAGGGAGCGCCUGGACAUGCAGGGGUCCGGUCCUCCAUCUCCGCCAAGCCUCCGCCCCAGCCAGCCGAUCUCUGAAUAUCAUUCAGUUGUGUCUGUUUAGAGUGAGGGGGAAGCACAAUUGCUGGAGAUGAAAGCGUCAUUUGCAAAAUAAUAAGAGCGUCCCAGCUGAUGAGAGGCAAACACUCCCGGGGUCAGUCCUGCUAAAUGACACAUCUUUCUUAACUAUUUAGCGUGUGAGGACAUCUGAGGAGAGUACUUAGACUAAUUCCAGGGUCUUUUCUUCCCUCUGUAUGAACUGCUCAGCCCUCUUGAAUGCAGACUCUGUUUUCCUAAUUGGAUCUCAUCAAAGCUUUCUCGUUGCCUUCAGCUGGUGGAGGCCCAUCGUGAUGUGGAGGGAGAGGACAGCCGCCAGCAGAGUAUAUUUGCUACGAACUAAUUCAGCCAGAAUCCACAGAGCACCCAGGGAGCAAAAGCACAGAGGAAUCAGAGACGGGAUGUUAAUAAGAGGAGAUGGGAUCCAUGGGGUCUGGGCAAGGAGCCCCGCAGUGGCGCGGAAUCAGGGGAGGGUGAGCCAUCUUUGCUAUGACUGCUACCCCCACCACUGCCCAGGGAUCACUUUCGAACCCCCUUAAAUGGUUUUCUUAAAGAUAUUCAGCUAGAAUAUGGGAAGAGAUGGGAUAAAAGCAGGAGUGACAGGUUGGG